GCAUCCGGAGACUGGGGUUUGUGCAUUGGGUGGAAAUUGAAUCCGGUCCUUCCACAUGGCAGACGAGGAACCUUCUACAGAAUCACCAAUGCCUCUGUCUAGAAAUAAAAGAUUUUUUCGUUAUCAAGGUGGAUCAUAUAGACAAACCACCUGUUAUAUUUAUAAACUGUAAUGGAACAAUCAGUUGAACAAAGAGUUCUUGCUGGGACUGACACAGCUCCAGAAGUUACUGAGCUUCACUACCUGAAACAGGAAAAAACCUGUGAAACUAUCAAUGAUGUCAUCAACUCUUUACAGAUCUAGGCUCCAUACAAGAAUGACCAGAAGGAGCCUGUGUAGUCCAACUAAGUACCGUGGACGCCUCUGGUAAUUACCCUUGUAUUUAUUCCCA